UCCCCGACCCUCCCACCGAGCAAGGCCAGGGGUCGAACCAGCGUCCUCGUAGAUCUCAGUGAGGUUCAUUACUGCCAAGCCACGACGGGAACUCCUGAAUUUGGGGAAUUUCUUAAGCCAGCAUUGGAGGCCAAGGGAUGUGGACAGGACAGCCCAAGGUCGUCUAGGCCUGGGGACAGAGCAAAAGCAGCUUGGUGGCUGGGGGACCGGAGCAGUGGACCUCUGAGCAGCGAGUCUGGGGAAUCAGGACUGGACUGCUGGUUCUCUCUGGAGAACUGAUCUCUUCUAGCCGUUGGCAAAGUGAACCUGUGCUAAGGCAUGAGCAUCUGCUGGAAGGCCUCGUGAGCCAGCACACCCAGAAGAAUGAGUCCCUAAGGCUGUAACAUUCACCCUGAAGUGUUUCCACACAAGCACUGAGGAGCACCUGGCACCAGGGUACAAAGGUGCUGCUAAUCUGCCCUCCGUGAAGGCUAUGCCUGAUUUUACUCCCACCAACAGUAUGGCAUGACUGUUUUUGGACACCUUUGCCGACCUAGUAUAGUCACACUUGUUGGUGUUUGAUUUGUUAUGU